rnacentral:sRNA from 1 species
AAAGUUGCAAAUUUAGAUAAAGCGUCCUUCACAUAUUUGAGCUCCAAACUUUUCAUUAAGAGAAUGAUGGAGAUCGAGACCCUUGAAUUAUAUUGUCCGUUUAAAAAAAUAAAAAUAAAA